rnacentral:snoRNA from 1 species
CCACUAGAUGAUGAUGAACUAGUGGAAUACAUCCUCGUCGGCCUUGAUGAGGAAUAUGACUCCAUUGUCAAUGCGGUUCAUGCAUGAACCAAUCCAAUUACUAUAAGUGAACUUAUUUCUUAGAUGCUAUCAUUCGAGA